AUUGAACGCUGGCGGCAGGCCUAAUACAUGCAAGUCGAGCGAGCGGCGGACGGGUGAGUAAUGUCUGGGAACCUGUCUGAUGGAGGGGGAUAACUACUGGAAACGGUAGCUAAAACCGCAUAACAUCAGAUGUGCCCAGAUGGGAUUAGCUAGUAGGUGGGGUAACGGCCCACCUAGGCGACGAUCCCUAGCUGGUCUGAGAGGAUGACCGGCCAAACUGGGACUGAGACACGGCCCAGACUCCUACGGGAGGCAGCAGUGGGGAAUAUUCGGCAAUGGACGAAAGCCUGAUGCAGCCAUGCCGCGUGUGUGAAGAAGGCCUUCGGGUUGUAAAGCUCUUUCGGCGGGGAAGCGGUACCCGCAGAAGAAGCACCGGCUAACUCCGUGCCAGCCGCCGCGGUAAUUC
rnacentral:rRNA from 1 species